GGACUUGCACAAGCGGAGGAUCAUGUGGUUUAAUUCGAUGGUAAACGAAGAACCUUACCAGGGUUAGAAAUCUAGUUGAAGACAAGCAGAAACGUUUGUCGCCGCAAGGCAAUUAGACAGGUGCUGCAUGGCCGUCGUCAGUUCGUGGUUUGAAUUGUUCCCUUCAGUGGGGUAACGAACGCAACCCUCAUUGCCUGUUACAAGUGUCAGGUGAGACUGCCCAGCUUUUUGCUCAUACAGUCCAUUAAAUUGGAUUUGUGAUCAGGAAGCUGGGAGGAAGGUGAGGAUGACGCCAGGUCAGCAUGGCCCUUUGAUACCCUGGGCUACACACGUGAUACAAUGGUACCUACAACGCGAUGCGACGAGGAGACUCUGAGCUAAUCGUAAGAAAGGGUACCUAAGUUCGGAUAGGAGUCUGCAACUCGACUCCUUGAAGUUGGAUUCGCUAGUAAUCUCGGGUCAGCUAUACCGAGGUGAAUACGUUCUCAAGUCUU
rnacentral:rRNA from 1 species